rnacentral:lncRNA from 1 species
UCGACCUCAGCCAGAUGAUGAUACAUCUUUAGAUUUACUAAAUGAAUCCAUCAGCAGAAUAAACGCAAACUCAAAGUCAGCCAUAAUUAUUGGUGAGGACUUUAAUUUAGGAAACAUCAAUUGGGAAACAACUAGCGUCAUCCCUGGAAAAGCAAACCAAAAACAACAUCAACAACUGUUAGAUAUAAUAAAUGACCAUUCAUUAGCACAAGUCGUAAACAUACCAACUCGAAAUGACAAAAUUUUAGAUCUUGUGUUAACAAAUUAUCCGGCCAUCAUUGAAAAAACUGAAACCAUGCCACCAUUAGGGGAGGCAGACCAUGAUAUUGUAUAUAUAGAAUGUUUACUUUCAUUAAAAAGAUGCCAAACCAAGCCACGUAAAGUAUACAAAUAUAAAAAUGCAAACUGGCAAAAAAUAAAAGAGGAUAUCGAUGAAAUAUAUCAAAAGAUCGUAUAAUAAUAAAGAUAGUGAAGAUACAAACACUCUUUGGUUAACAUUUAAAAACUCAUUACAAAACACUAUCACUGAGAACAUACCCCAGAAAAUGAUGAGAAACAGCAAAAAUUUACCAUGGAUAACAGACAGUAUAAGACGACAAAUGAAAAAGUAUAAGAAAAAAUAUCAAAAGUACAAAUUGAAAGGCAAGGGGAAACUAGACCAACUCAAAAAAUUAAAACAUGAUAUACAAAAACAACAAAGAACAUCUUAUUGGAAUUAUAUUGAAAAUAUGAUAUGUGGUAUACCAGUUGAUGACAACACUACUACCAUAUCAAAGAGCUUUCCAAAAAAUCUGUUCAGUUAUAUAAAAACACAAAAGUCUGAAAGCUCUAAUAUACCACCACUCCGAAAAGAGGGCUCACUUACAUCUGACUCAAAAGCGAAAGCUAACAUUCUAAAUGAACAGUUCAAAAAA